GACGAACGCUGGCGGCGUGCUUAACACAUGCAAGUCGAACGAUGAUGCCUAGCUUGCUGGGUUGAUUAGUGGCGAACGGGUGAGUAAUACGUGAGUAACCUGCCCCCUUCUUUGGGAUAAGCCUUGGAAACGGGGUCUAAUACUGGAUAUUCCUGGUGCAACGCAUGUUGUGGUGGGGAAAGUUUUUUCGGUGGGGGGAUGGGCUCGCGGCCUAUCAGCUUGUUGGUGGGGUGAUGGCCUACCAAGGCGUCGACGGGUAGCCGGCCUGAGAGGGUGACCGGCCACACUGGGACUGAGAUACGGCCCAGACUCCUACGGGAGGCAGCAGUGGGGGAUAUUGCACAAUGGGCGCAAGCCUGAUGCAGCGACGCCGCGUGAGGGAUGACGGCUUUCGGGUUGUAAAGCUCUGUGGGGAGGGGCGGAAACGGCCGGUAAGAAACGACCGGUCCUUGACGGUACCGUCCUUAGCAAGCACCGGCUAACUCUGUGCCAGCAGCCGCGGU
rnacentral:rRNA from 1 species